GAGGGUAUAGCUCAGUGGUAGAGUGUAUGCUUAACAUGGACAAGGUCCUGGGUUCAAGCCCCAGUACUGCCA
rnacentral:tRNA from 1 species